GAGAAUGGUUGAACAAAGGUUUUCUUUCUAAAAAUAAAUUACUAGAAGUUGGUUUUUAUGUGAAAAAACAUAAAUUAUUAUUUGGGACAAGAAGACCCUAUGAAUUUUUAUUUUAUGUAAAUAAUUUUAUUAUUUACGUAAAAUUUAAUUGGGGUGAUUUUUAAAGAUUGGGAAUCUUUAGAUUUAUUAAGAUGAUCCGUUAUUAGCGAUUUUUUGAAAAAAAUACUCUAGGGAUAACAGCGUAAUAAUUUUGGAUAGUUCUUAUUGAUAAAAUUGAUUGCGACCUCGAUGUUGGAUUAAGAUCCUUAUUUAAUGAAGAAGUUAAAUUAAGAAGUUUGCUCAACUUUUAAUAUCUUACUUGAUCUG
rnacentral:rRNA from 1 species